AAAGCUUGCAUUUUAAAGGAGGCCUGUUAUGUUCAGUGUCAGCCAAGUUCUGUUGCUGAGCCUACAAGCAAGGCAGCACAGCCAUUAGGAGGAGGUAGGGUGAAUGGGAAAGAGGGAUGGAGGGAUAGAAGAGGCAGGGAAUUGGGAUGAGAGGAAGAAGGUAGAAAAAGAGAGGGAGAGAGACAGGUAGAAAAGAGAGGGAGAGAGACCGGUAGAAAAAGAGAGAUAGAGCUUGACGGGUAGAAUAAGAGGUAGAGAGAGAGGUUGAUACUUUUUCGUUCGAGAAACUCCUGAAUAAUCGCUGUCUGUUUUGUGUUGUGUUCAAUAGUGUCUAUAUUUUUCUUGUAUCUGUAUUUAGGAUUGGUACUAUAUUAAAAUUAUUAUAAAUUC